rnacentral:lncRNA from 1 species
AUGCAUAAACUUUGGGUGCCUCUCUCCCUCUUCCCAGCCUCUUCUCCCAUCCUCUCUUCCUGCUCUCUUUGCUCUGCUCAUCACUUUCCCCUGGUUUUUUUUUUUUUUUCCUCCCUUCCUCCCCCCUCGCCUCCCUCCCCCCACCUUGCUCUGCAGCGGGAGCCUGCGGCUGCUCGGAGAGGGGGGGACGCGCUGCCGAGCCGCCAGGUCUGGGUUCAAAGGCUGAGGGUCGCGUGUCUUCGCCUCAUUGCAGGGUUUGCCCGCUGGGGAAGACGCUCCCAGCAUCAGAUCGUCAAAUCUGGUUAAACACUCGACAUGCACUCGCCCUGGUAUUUCCCUGGCACUCGGUGAUUCAUCUCGGCUUCCUUUCUUUGUAGCACCCCCCCCCCCCCAAACGCCCCUGCCACACCUUGUCUGUGUCUUUAAUGCAUCCUGAUUGUCCACUUCCCUGGACCCCUCCCCCCACAGAAACCCUUGUAGGGACGACUUUGAGACUUUGAUUCAGUUGCAAAUCUGAACCUGGCAUUAGCGGACUUCAUGCUGUGAAAAAAAGAAAAUGUUGCAAGGCCUUAACCCUGAGGCCUGCCCGCCACCUUCCACCCUGGUGCGGUCUGCUUCCCCCUCUGCGCCCUGCUUCCCUGGGGAGGUGAAGGCCAUUGGGUGUGACUAGGAAUGCCUGCGCUGUGGGGUGCCUCUCGCUGCCAUGUGCUCCCCCUCCAAGACAAAACCGGAGGCUAGGGGAAGGGAAGAGGAAAAACUGACUGCAGGCCCCAAAGGCUUUUCCCAUAAUAGGAUGAUGGGUUUUAGGUGAAAAAAAAAAUAUGACUGUUUUGUUCUUUUAGGUUUAGAAAUAACAGGGAGAGAGGGAAAAGCAGUCAUUAGGAAGUUCCCCGAGCUGCCUUCCAACUGAGGCGGGUGAAAAAUGAAGCAGCAUUGACACUUGGCUCCGUGCGAGAGCUCCUGUAACCUCUCCCCCUGGCGUGGCCCUGGCCUUUUGUUCCUGGAGAACGGAGCUAAGGUGCUUUUUCUCCCAGACCACAGGCAGCAGGCGAGGAGUCCCCCUGUGUGCCUUGCCUUUGGAUGGCUUCUCAUGGUUAUUGUCAAUGCAGAUUCCCCAAACAAUCGCUCCAGCGAGACACCAAAGCAAAAACAUUUGUCCUAUUUUUUUAACCUCUUUGUUUUAGGUUUUUUCUUUCUUUUUUAUCCAUCCUUUAAUUCUCACAGUUCCUAUUUGUCUGCAGAGACACAAACGGAACAGCGUGAAGCACAUUUUACCGUAGGCCUCACUGCCGACUGGAGCCGCCUC